rnacentral:rRNA from 1 species
UACGUAGGGUGCGAGCGUUGUCCGGAAUCACUGGGCUUAAAGCGUGUGUAGGCGGAUGGGUAAGUACCUUGUGAAAUCCCACGGCUCAACCGUGGAACUGCUCGGUAUACUGCUCGUCUUGAGCCAACUAGGGGCGACCGGAACAAACGGUGGAGCGGUGAAAUGCGUAGAUAUCGUUUGGAACGCCGAUGGUGAAAACAGGUCGCUGGGGUUGUGCUGACGCUGAGACACGAAAGCCAGGGGAGCGAACGGG